UACAGAGGUCUCAAGCGUUUGUUCGGAUUCAUUGGGCGUAAAGGGUGCGUAGGCGGCGCGGUAAGUCGGGUGUGAAAUCUCGGAGCUUAACUCCGAAACUGCAUUCGAUACUGCCGUGCUUGAGGACUGGAGAGGAGACUGGAAUUUACGGUGUAGCGGUGAAAUGCGUAGAUAUCGUAAGGAAGACCAGUGGCGAAGGCGGGGUCUCUGGACAGUUCCUGACGCUGAGGCACGAAGGCCAGGGGGAGCAAACGGGG
rnacentral:rRNA from 1 species